CGGUGGAGCAUGUGGUUUAAUUCGAUGCAACGCGAAAACCUUACCAGGUCUGACAUCCAGCGAAUGCUGCAGAGAUGCGGCAGUGCCUUCGGGAGCGCUGAGACAGGUGCUGCAUGGCUGUCGUCAGCUCGUGUUGUGAAAUGUUGGGUUAAGUCCCGCAACGAGCGCAACCCCUAUUGUUAGUUGCCAUCAUUCAGUUGGGCACUCUAGCGAGACUGCCGGUAAUAGACCGGAGGAAGGUGGGGAUGACGUCAAAUCAUCAUGCCCCUUAUGACCUGGGCUACACACGUGCUACAAUGGUUGGUACAACGAGUUGCGAGUCGGUGACGGCGAGCUAAUCUCUUAAAGCCAAUCUCAGUUCGGAUUGUAGGCUGCAACUCGCCUACAUGAAGUCGGAAUCGCUAGUAAUCGCGGAUCAGCACGCCGCGGUGAAUACGUUCCCGGGCCUU
rnacentral:rRNA from 1 species